CCCGCCCAUAAAUCCCGUGGGCCUCUGCGGGGUGGUAUUUAAGUAUCUCGCUGCCGCCCGUCUGCCUCAUUUUUUGUUCACGGUGCCAGGGAUUAGGCGCACGUCUGAACGUUAGAAUGGAAAAGAGCCGACCUGCUAGGAUGUGGUUCAGCUCAAAAGACCUUACGGAUUGGAGGAUGGGACAAGACCCAUCCCUGCAAAGUAAGCAUUCCAGUGAUGCUCCAGCAUCUCCUCCCCAAGCCUGAGGAAUCCAGCUGCCUCCAAGGGUGAAGACAGCUUAUUCCUCUUAGAAUGACUUUCCUGUGGAGGGAGCGAGCAACCCAACAGUACAGUUAAUUCUUGAGAUGGUGUGCUCUCCCUCACCCAUAUGUCACUGUCAGAUGAUUUGAAUAGAUAUGCUGAUCCUCCGUGAGGUACAACAAUUAAUAGCAUGUUAGAGUUCUGAUGGCAGUUUCCAUUAAUGAAGAAACUUUGUUCUAGCCUAGUAUUUUUGGAUAACCAUCUGGUCUCCUUUUGCAGGUCGUCCUGAUGGUGGUAACAUGUUGAUUUACCUUAUGAUGCCCACUGAUGUGUCAGGGUCGAACUCAUGGAAAGAGUUAAGGAUGGAGCAGCUUGUUCGUGUAUACUACCAAAAGGUCUCCAGAGUUAACAGGUGUGGUUACCCAUAACCUGCUCAUUUGCUCAGAGGUUCAGCACCUUCUCUGGAGCCCAAGAAUGAUUUGAGGUACCCUCAGCCAUUUCUCUGCUCAGCUCCAGUCUGAAGUCAGGUCUGAAGAAGGAACAAGGCAUAGGUAAUGGACAGGGAGACAGAAUCCCAAGUAGACCUCAUGCUGUCCAGUGCAGAGCCCAACGCAGGACUUGAACUCUGAACCUGAGAUAACCUGAGCUGGAAUCAAUGGUUCGACAUAUAACAGACUGAGCCAAUGAGGUGCCCCUAAAAAAAAUUUUAAGUCAAUGCUAAAAGGCUUACUUUGGCCAAUUAUUGUGUUUCUCCUGUUGGUGUAAAUAUAACUUGAUGAGAAUGA